AUUAGUAAAUUGGUCCCUUUGGGAAUCUAAACUGAGGCGCACGUAACACUACAUCUUGGAAUUCAUAAUUCUUUCAUAAUCACCUCCCAUUUGGCAUCUGUGAACUCACAAAGGCAGGUUUCCUCAGUGAAGAUCUGUUCCGAGUCCAAUAUUUACAUAAACAAUUUCUGUUUGGAGUGCAGGUUCCUUCAUGCACCAAUGACUACUCCAUCUAUGUAGGCCUCUAAAUUUCAUGUUAAAUAAAUUUUAGCACUACUGAAAUACUUCAAAAAAUCUUCACUGUUUUUCAGCAUGAAAAGUCAUGUAGACCAUCUCGAGAGGUAUUUUGCGAAUUCUUAAUGGAGUAAAUGCAAGAACAAUUUGAAUUUCUAAUCACCAGAAAAGCAGGAGACAAAUCCCAGUCGAGGCUCAUCCUAUAACACAUCUGACGAGUAUUCUUCAAAACUGUCAAGAUCAUCAAAAAUCAAGGAGAGUCUGAGAAACUGUCACAGCCCAGAGAAGCCUAAGGAGACAUGACAACUAAAUGGAAUGUGGGAUCCUGGAUGGGAUCCUGGAACAGAAAAAGGACAUUAGGGAAAAACUAAUGAAAUCCGAUUAAAGAACUGAGUUUAGUUAAUAGUCAUGUAUCAAUAUUGGUUCAUUAGUUGUGACAAGCAUGCCGGAAUAAUAGAAGAUACUAAAUUAGGUGAAACGGGGUACAAAGUGUGUGGGAAUUCUCCAAAUUCUCUUUACAACUUUUCCAUAACUUCCAUAAAUUUUAUCCUAAAAUAAAAAGCCUAUUUGAAAUCA